rnacentral:misc_RNA from 1 species
AAGUCGUAACAAGGUAACCGUAGGUGAACCUGCGGUUGGAUCAUUACAAAAAGCAAACCCAAAACCGGGCGGGCAGUCGCCCGCGCGGUGUGGGCUCCGAUCUCUCGGAGCAAAGCCCACACAACCUUGUGUGCACCGUCAACCGUCUCUGGUGGUUGGGAAGGGAAUCCGCCGCUUCCCCCCGCUUUCUUUAGCGGGGAGCGAAGGGGAGGUGCCUUCCCGCGCCUGCCACCUUCGCGUUCCUCUUCGGAGGGGCGUUUGAGGGCUGCGGCAGGCAGGCCACCAACCUGUUUACGAACCAAUGCAUUUUCGUCGUCAGCUUGGCUUGUUAUUUUUCGAAAUGAAAAAACAACUUUUGGCAACGGAUCUCUUGGCUCUC